ensembl:lncRNA
GUACAGAUAACAUUUUAACCUUAAAAAAUGAUACAUUAAUUAGUCUCAAUGAAAAAUACAAGAAUCGUACUAUAUUCUUCACAAAUGGAACAUUGAAGCUCAACAAAGCAGCAAAAAAUGACUCUGGAGAGUACAGCAUGGAAACACACAAUUCUACUGAAGGUGUGUUAUUGUACGCAGUUAACAUCCAUCUACAUAUACUAGCUCCUGUGUCAGAACCAGCUGUUACGCAGAUGUGUUUGUCACCAAAACAGAUGACAGUCAGCUGCUCCUCUGAAGGAGAUGAAGUAGAAUUCAUUUUGUCUUUGGAUGAUAAGUUGUUGAUACAGACUAAAGCCAAUGGUAUAGAAAACAACAGCGUUUCAAAUGUUACCAUCAACUUACCUGGUCAGCUGAUGGGAAACCUGACAUGUGUUGCUCAAAACAAUGUCAGCAGAAAACAAAAUAUCAUCCACCUUACAAGCUGUACAGCUCCUGUGUCAGAACCAGCUGUUACGCAGAUGUGUUUGUCACCAAAACAGAUGACAGUCAGCUGUUUCUCUGAAGGAGACGAAGUAGAGUUCAUUUUGUCUUUGGAUGAUAAGUUGUUGAUACAGUCUACAGCUGACGGUAUAGAAAACAACAACAUUUCAAAUGUUACCAUCAACUUACCUGGUCAGCUGAUGGGAAACCUGACAUGUGUUGCUCAAAACAAUGCCAGCAGAAAACAAACUAUCACCCACCUUACAAGCUGCACAGCUCCUGUGUCAGAACCAGCUGUUUCGCAGAUGUGUUUGUCACCAAAACAGAUGACAGUCAGUUGCUCCUCUGAAGGAGAUGAAGUAGAGUUCACCUUGUUUUUGGAUGAUAACUUGUUGAUAAAAACCCAACCCAGCAUUGCAGAAAACCACAACAUUUCAAAUGUUACCAUCAGUUUACAUGGUCAGCUGAUGGGAAAUUUUAUGUGUAUCGUCCAAAACAACAUCAGCAGAGAACAAACCAUCAUCCACCUUAUAAGCUGCACAGGUAAUAUUUCUGACCACUGCAUUGUGACCAUGGCUGUGGUAGUAAGCAUUGCCAUUCUACUCAUUCUGGCUGUGUUUCUUGGUAUCCGGAAAUUCAAAAACACAACUGGCAUUAUGACUGUUCAUGAAGAUGAAGCUGAAGAGGACGUUGUCUACUCAGAUAUUAGACUGAAGCAGCGUGCAAGAGAAACAAGAGAAACACCACCUAUUUCAAAUCAAGAUGAAAGUUAACGUUCUCCUAAACAGUCUGACAUUCUGAAACCUAAAACCUAACAUGUUGACUUUCGGUCAACUGGCUAAUAAAACUAUGCCAGUUUAGCAGUUCCAUCUUUGCAGUGAACGUGAAGGUAAACAUAUUUAACAAGCACUCACUGGAUUACUUUAAUUUUGAAGAAAACAUAAAGGGGAAAAAGUUAUUUCGAAGGCAUUUAAUAUACAUGAAAUACUUAUUUAUACUUAUUUAUAAAUGCUUUAUAUUUGAACUACAUUUUAUUUGACAUAAUUUAAAUAAACUACAUCAACCUUGUAAAAGUUCUAACCAACAUUUUACAUUUAACCUUGGAGAUUGAAUAAAAGGCUUUGGUCAGUGAUGGUGCUUUCCUUGUGUUGUGUUAAGCAGACGUGGGCUGUGCCUCAUGUUUGAGAUAAAAACAUCAGGGCUACUUUUUUCUGUGUUGUCAUGACAUUAAAACCACAAACUAUAUCCUGUUUUCACUGAGCUGCUAAACCUCUAAACCAUGUGACAUUACCUAAGCUGCACAGUUGUCAGUGAGAAAGGAAAAAUACCUGUAUAAUGC